rnacentral:rRNA from 1 species
GUUAAGCGACUAAGCGUACACGGUGGAUGCCCUGGCAGUCAGAGGCGAUGAAGGACGUGCUAAUCUGCGAUAAGCGUCGGUAAGGUGAUAUGAACCGUUAUAACCGGCGAUUUCCGAAUGGGGAAACCCAGUGUGUUUCGACACACUAUCAUUAACUGAAUCCAUAGGUUAAUGAGGCGAACCGGGGGAACUGAAACAUCUAAGUACCCCGAGGAAAAGAAAUCAACCGAGAUUCCCCCAGUAGCGGCGAGCGAACGGGGAGGAGCCCAGAGCCUGAAUCAGUGUGUGUGUUAGUGGAAGCGUCUGGAAAGGCGCGCGAUACAGGGUGACAGCCCCGUACACAAAAAUGCACAUGCUGUGAGCUCGAUGAGUAGGGCGGGACACGUGGUAUCCUGUCUGAAUAUGGGGGGACCAUCCUCCAAGGCUAAAUACUCCUGACUGACCGAUAGUGAACCAGUACCGUGAGGGAAAGGCGAAAAGAACCCCGGCGAGGGGAGUGAAAAAGAACCUGAAACCGUGUACGUACAAGCAGUGGGAGCACGCUUAGGCGUGUGACUGCGUACCUUUUGUAUAAUGGGUCAGCGACUUAUAUUCUGUAGCAAGGUUAACCGAAUAGGGGAGCCGAAGGGAAACCGAGUCUUAACUGGGCGUUAAGUUGCAGGGUAUAGACCCGAAACCCGGUGAUCUAGCCAUGGGCAGGUUGAAGGUUGGGUAACACUAACUGGAGGACCGAACCGACUAAUGUUGAAAAAUUAGCGGAUGACUUGUGGCUGGGGGUGAAAGGCCAAUCAAACCGGGAGAUAGCUGGUUCUCCCCGAAAGCUAUUUAGGUAGCGCCUCGUGAAUUCAUCUCCGGGGGUAGAGCACUGUUUCGGCAAGGGGGUCAUCCCGACUUACCAACCCGAUGCAAACUGCGAAUACCGGAGAAUGUUAUCACGGGAGACACACGGCGGGUGCUAACGUCCGUCGUGAAGAGGGAAACAACCCAGACCGCCAGCUAAGGUCCCAAAGUCAUGGUUAAGUGGGAAACGAUGUGGGAAGGCCCAGACAGCCAGGAUGUUGGCUUAGAAGCAGCCAUCAUUUAAAGAAAGCGUAAUAGCUCACUGGUCGAGUCGGCCUGCGCGGAAGAUGUAACGGGGCUAAACCAUGCACCGAAGCUGCGGCAGCGACGCUUAUGCGUUGUUGGGUAGGGGAGCGUUCUGUAAGCCUGUGAAGGUGUGCUGUGAGGCAUGCUGGAGGUAUCAGAAGUGCGAAUGCUGACAUAAGUAACGAUAAAGCGGGUGAAAAGCCCGCUCGCCGGAAGACCAAGGGUUCCUGUCCAACGUUAAUCGGGGCAGGGUGAGUCGACCCCUAAGGCGAGGCCGAAAGGCGUAGUCGAUGGGAAACAGGUUAAUAUUCCUGUACUUGGUGUUACUGCGAAGGGGGGACGGAGAAGGCUAUGUUGGCCGGGCGACGGUUGUCCCGGUUUAAGCGUGUAGGCUGGUUUUCCAGGCAAAUCCGGAAAAUCAAGGCUGAGGCGUGAUGACGAGGCACUACGGUGCUGAAGCAACAAAUGCCCUGCUUCCAGGAAAAGCCUCUAAGCAUCAGGUAACAUCAAAUCGUACCCCAAACCGACACAGGUGGUCAGGUAGAGAAUACCAAGGCGCUUGAGAGAACUCGGGUGAAGGAACUAGGCAAAAUGGUGCCGUAACUUCGGGAGAAGGCACGCUGAUAUGUAGGUGAAGCGACUUGCUCGUGGAGCUGAAAUCAGUCGAAGAUACCAGCUGGCUGCAACUGUUUAUUAAAAACACAGCACUGUGCAAACACGAAAGUGGACGUAUACGGUGUGACGCCUGCCCGGUGCCGGAAGGUUAAUUGAUGGGGUCAGCGCAAGCGAAGCUCUUGAUCGAAGCCCCGGUAAACGGCGGCCGUAACUAUAACGGUCCUAAGGUAGCGAAAUUCCUUGUCGGGUAAGUUCCGACCUGCACGAAUGGCGUAAUGAUGGCCAGGCUGUCUCCACCCGAGACUCAGUGAAAUUGAACUCGCUGUGAAGAUGCAGUGUACCCGCGGCAAGACGGAAAGACCCCGUGAACCUUUACUAUAGCUUGACACUGAACAUUGAGCCUUGAUG